CCCGACCGGUCCGUGAGCUCCGGGCCGCGCGGUGCGCGUGGGGCGUCCCGCUGGGCCUGGCGCGCGCCCGCGCCUCCGGCCCACCGAGCAGCCCGGGAUUGCCCCAGACGAGCUCGGCAGCGCUUCCCGUCCGGGACACGGCGUCUGAACCUGGCGCCUCUCCACAUCCAGCCCGACCCCAGGAAAGCCGAGCCCUCCCGGCCUGACCUUGCGCAACUGAAGGCCAACCCUGCGCGUCCCGCCGUCCCUCUGAACGGGGCGUUCCGGCGGCGGUGGCAGAAUUUCGGGUUUGCUUUGUUUCUCUAGUGAAGAGAACGCACUCUCCUACCCUCAAAGAGGCGUCCAGGCGUACUUCCCUGAGUGUUCGUGGCUGAUACUGGUUCCGAACCUGUCUGGCCCUGAGCCUUUUCGUUUCUCCUGUUUUAUGCAGAUCACUCGAGCCACAGCAAAUUAUUGCUCAUUUGAUACCAAGAAUUCUAUUGACCACGGCUUUCGUUGGAGAGCGAAUUCUAACUACUGGCUGCUCUGUUGUCAGCUAGAGCUGAGGCUGGGAACCUUCCACAAGGCUGUGACGGCACACAGAGUCCUCUGCUCCAGGAAGUGCAGAGAUAACGCUGGUGUGUGUUGUCUGCCUGCACCCAAAGCGAUGGUGUUCCUGGAAUGCAAGCACCGCCCGCCAUGCUUGGAGCAUCCUGCCGCAGAGAGAACACUUUCUCCUGGUCUCAGCCCAGACUGACAGCCUGGGGGCCUCGUAGGACACUCGGCCAGAUGACACACACACAAGGGCACCCAGAACCUGUGUCGUGGGCUCCCGGGCAGCUGUGGAUCCAGGAGGCAGGCUGAGCAAGCCAGCAACACUCGCUGCCACUUGUCCAGAAAGCAAGAAAGCGGCAAUAUCCUCAGUGUUAUUUAAGGGAAAAAGACUGGGACCUGCACUGGAGUUUAAAAGUUAGGGGCGGGCUGCUCCCCAGCAUUUCUUUGGAAGGAGGCAGAACUGAGAGCUAUGCAGCUGGCUUGGCGCUUCAGCCCAUAGGAGAGGAGGAAAUUCUCCUCCUCCUCGCUGCACCUUGGAGCAGGUCCUCUGGCAGAGCUCUCGGCUCCCCAGCACCCCGUCAGCCUCCUGCCUCUCCUGCCAGGCCAAUGGAACCAGCAGAACUCGAUAGUAAAUUAUUUUGUUCAGCCCUCUGUCUUUUUAUGAAAAUAAAAGCCAACACUUUGUCAUUUUUAAUCACGUAAGCAGACAAUAAAUCCAAUUUCGAUAUUGAUUUUUUUUUCCAGAAUCAAGUGAUUUUUUGCAGUGUCUGUUGUGUUUCCUUUUGCGAAAAAGAGCCGCUGGCCUCAGAGCGGUGGGGGUGAGGCAGCCUGUGCAGCCAGCUCCUCUGAAACAGGCCACGGCUGUGGACUUUGAAGCCAGGCAGCUGAGCUGAGCUGCAGCUCUUAGCUGUCCCGGUGUCUAGGUGUCCUCUAGUUGUCUGGAUCAUGGUUUCCACUUAGCCAUCCCUGGUGCCCAAGAUACAGCUAAGGCUCAGCCAGUGUUUUUAGGGCUAUAGAUCCUGAGAC
rnacentral:lncRNA from 1 species